GAGGAAAGCUGGAGGCGUGCCUAAUACAUGCAAGUCGAGCGAACGGACGAGAAGCUUGCUUCUCUGAUGUUAGCGGCGGACGGGUGAGUAACACGUGGAUAACCUACCUAUAAGACUGGGAUAACUUCGGGAAACCGUAGCUAAUACCGGAUAAUAUUUUGAACCGCAUGGUUCAAAAGUGAAAGACGGUCUUGCUGUCACUUAUAGAUGGAUCCGCGCUGCAUUAGCUAGUUGGUAAGGUAACGGCUUACCAAGGCAACGAUGCAUAGCCGACCUGAGAGGGUGAUCGGCCACACUGGAACUGAGACACGGUCCAGACUCCUACGGGAGGCAGCAGUAGGGAAUCUUCCGCAAUGGGCGAAAGCCUGACGGAGCAACGCCGCGUGAGUGAUGAAGGUCUUCGGAUCGUAAAACUCUGUUAUUAGGGAAGAACAUAUGUGUAAGUAACUGUGCACAUCUUGACGGUACCUAAUCAGAAGGCCACGGCUAACUACGUG
rnacentral:rRNA from 1 species